rnacentral:tRNA from 1 species
GCAGUGGCAGUACAGUGGUAGAAUUCUCACCUUCCGUGCAAGAGAGCCAGGUUCAAUUCCUGGCCAAUGCA